UCGGGAAUUUUGGGCAAUGGGGGAAACCCUGACCCAGCAACGCCGCGUGAAGGAUGAAGUAUUUCGGUAUGUAAACUUCGAAAGAAUAGGAAGAAUAAAUGACGGUACUAUUUAUAAGGUCCGGCUAACUACGUGCCAGCAGCCGCGGUAAUACGUAGGGACCAAGCGUUGUUCGGAUUUACUGGGCGUAAAGGGCGCGUAGGCGGCAUGACAAGUCACUUGUGAAAUCUCUGGGCUUAACCCAGAACGGCCAAGUGAUACUGUCGCGCUAGAGUGCAGAAGGGGCAAUCGGAAUUCUUGGUGUAGCGGUGAAAUGCGUAGAUAUCAAGAGGAACACCUGAGGUGAAGACGGGCUGCUGGGCUGACACUGACGCUGAGGCGCGAAAGCCAGGGGAGCAAACGGGAUUAGAUACCCAUGUAGUCCCUGAGCGGGCUGGCAAGGCGCAU
rnacentral:rRNA from 1 species